rnacentral:rRNA from 1 species
AUUGAACGCUGGCGGCAGGCCUAACACAUGCAAGUCGAACGAGUGGCGGACGGGUGAGUAAUGUCUGGGAAACUGCCUGAUGGAGGGGGAUAACUACUGGAAACGGUAGCUAAUACCGCAUACCAUCGGAUGUGCCCAGAUGGGAUUAGCGAGUGGGUGGGGAAACGGCUCACCUAGGCGACGAUCCCGAGCGGGUCUGAGAGGAGGACCAGCCACACUGGAACGGAGACACGGUCCAGACUCCUACGGGAGGCAGCAUGGGGGAAUAUUGCACAAGGGGCGCAAGCCUGAUGCAGCCAGGCCGCGUGUAGGAAGAAGGCCUUCGGGUUUGAAAGUACUUUCAGCGGGGAGGCGUUACCCGCAGAAGAAGCACCGGCUAACUCCGUGCCAGCAGCCGCGGUAAUAC